CUUGGUGGAGUCGGAACACACAUCAGACAAAAUAUUAUUCAAAAUUCUUACAAAUAAGUUAAGUAAGAAAAAUUACAGUUAUAAUAAAAAUGUUAACGUUAAAAAGUGUAUUCGUGUGGACCAAAAUUUCAAUUUUUUUCGACCUGCCAAUCAGUUUCGAUAAAAUUCAUUUUCAAUCAUUUUACGCUUAAAAUUCUCUGGAAUUUGUAAAAAUAUUCUAUAAAAUUGCAGCACGACGACAAGGUCCCCGCGACCAGCUUGUGUCAAGCCAAGCCAAGCCAGAUGUAAAGAACCGAUUUCUUCUAUUUUUGCUCGCUACUAAUUGCAACGGCUAGCCCAGGGAGUUUGUGCGUUCGUCCCACCAAAUUUAUGAUUUGUGUGAUUGCCUGACCAAGGAAAAGGACUCUUGGAUUAUGAUGUCCGUUAGAUCUGCUUUAGUCUGCUCCUCGCGCUUAGCUGCUUUCCUUAUUUCUUGAUCCCGCUGACGGUUCUGCUGCUGCUGCUGGCAAUAAUCCGGCUGUCAAUACUGUUGCUGUGUUUGGCAAUAACGGCGGUCCUGCUUCUGCUGAUUUGGAUCCAUAUUCUGUGGAUGCUUGUGGUACUUAUUGCCAUCUACAAAAACAACCACCACUAAAUAUCGCGCUGGAAUAGCCGAGGAAGACAUAGCCAUGCUGAAUGAAAUCGAUGAGAGCACCAGUGAUCCUCUGAAGGCAGUUCUUGGAUUACGAGCAACGCAUUUGCCGGCACUACGAUUCCAAGCUGAAUGGCUGUUUUAAGGGUAACAACUGUCGUUUGGCUCAUGAGCCCUUUCCUCCAAAUGGCGCCACCAAGGAUGUCGAACUAGCUAGAGCUCUUCCGGAGACAAUCCUUGAUA